UGAUAUACUGUACGCCUGCGUGUCAAAAACUUACUGUUUAUGGUUAAGACCAUAUGCCGAUUUUUUUUAUGUGAUCACCUGUGAUUCUGUGAAAUUGUCAUCAGACUUCUUAUUCUUUUUCUUUUCAGCUAAUUCCAUUGCCUGCAUGUGUCAUUCAAAGCUUCACAAACUGUUUUCUUUGUUAUUUAUUAAUUUAUUGACUAUUUUGUUCGUGUACUAAAUGUUCAUGUUGAUGGCAAUAUUGAUAUUGAUGUGCUUUUUUAAACGACUUUCUUCUAUGUUUUUUUUAUAUUUUUACUUAUAUUGUAUACAUUUUUGAUUUUAUAUUAAAAUCCUCAAAAGUG
rnacentral:misc_RNA from 1 species